UGGAAUUUUUAGUAGUUCGUCCAUAUGGGCCGAAAUAACUUGUUGUUGAUUUCCAAAUCGUUGGUUUAACAAGUCUACAGCGGAUUGAUAAUUUUCUUCGGUCAAGGAUAAACCUUGAAUUGAACGUAGAGCUGGCCCUUCAAGCAACGAGUACAAAUAAUUGAAUUUAUCGAUUGUUGACAGCUGACUAUUUUUAUGUACAGCACUAUCGUACGAGUCCCAAAACGAUCGAAAUUUGGUUAAUUCUCCCUUAAAUUUUGGAAGUACUAACUUUGGGAGUUUAGAUUUCGUUACAUGAUGUUGUUGACUUACUUGAUUGUGUUGAAUUUGAUCUGUACUUGCUUGCGGCGCCGAAUUAUUCGAUACAACGCUUUCGUUUUGCAGUUCGCUUUGUUGUGGUUCAUUUAUAUGCUCAUCUUGCACGGAUAUUGCCGGUUGAUUCGUAACUACGUGUCCUUCGCUCGUUGCCUUUAAUAUUUUCUUGUUUACA